GAUGAACGCUAGCGAUAGGCUUAACACAUGCAAGUCGAGGGGCAGCAUGGUCUUAGCUUGCUAAGACUGAUGGCGACCGGCGCACGGGUGCGUAACGCGUAUGCAACUUGCCUCACAGAGGGGGAUAACCCGUCGAAAGACGGACUAAUACCGCGUACACUUGGGAUAGGGCAUCCUGACCCAAGGAAAUGAAAUUCGCUGUGAGAUAGGCAUGCGUCCCAUUAGCUAGUUGGUGAGGUAACGGCUCACCAAGGCGACGAUGGGUAGGGGAACUGAGAGGUUGAACCCCCACACUGGUACUGAGACACGGACCAGACUCCUACGGGAGGCAGCAGUGAGGAAUAUUGGUCAAUGGGCGAGAGCCUGAACCAGCCAAGUCGCGUGAAGGAUGACUGUCUUAUGGAUGGUAAACUUCUUUUAUACGGGAAUAACAAGAGCCACGUGUGGCUCCCUGCAUGUACCGUAUGAAUAAGCAUCGGCUAACUCCGUG
rnacentral:rRNA from 1 species